GACGAACGCUGGCGGCGUGCUUAACACAUGCAAGUCGAACGAAGAGCGAUGGAAGCUUGCUUCUAUCUAUCUUAGUGGCGAACGGGUGAGUAACGCGUAAUCAACCUGCCCUUCAGAGGGGGACAACAGUUGGAAACGACUGCUAAUACCGCAUACGAUCCAAUCUUGGCAUCGAGACUGGAUGAAAGGUGGCCUCUAUUUAUAAGCUAUCACUGAAGGAGGGGAUUGCGUCUGAUUAGCUAGUUGGAGGGGUAACGGCCCACCAAGGCGAUGAUCAGUAGCCGGUCUGAGAGGAUGAACGGCCACAUUGGGACUGAGACACGGCCCAGACUCCUACGGGAGGCAGCAGUGGGGAAUCUUCCGCAAUGGACGAAAGUCUGACGGAGCAACGCCGCGUGAGUGAUGACGGCCUCCGGGUUGUAAAGCUCUGUUAAUCGGGACGAAUGGUUCUUGUGCGAAUAGUGCGAGGAUUUGACGGUACCGGAAUAGAAAGCC
rnacentral:rRNA from 1 species